rnacentral:lncRNA from 1 species
AACGGUGACAAAGGAGGAGGCUACUUUGGUUCUGACCUGCAGCGGCCGGUGUGGCAGGAGAUGGGGUUGGCUGCUAAAGCGGUGAAACAGGGAUUGUUGAAGGUACGUGUGAUAUAGAAGUUUGGGUAAUCAGUCGUCAGUCAAAAAGAUGCUAACAUGUGAAUUUUGUAGGAGCAAUUAGGUCACGUGGAUGGCUUCACCCAGUAUCCAUGGUAUUUGCGGGGAACAUGGCAGUCCCAAAUUUACUCCAGUGACCCUGUUCGGCCAACUAGGAUGAAUUUCAAGCUAUCUGCAUCCUCAUCCUCAUUCAGAUAUUUCUAGCGGAGCACAAG